UACGUAGGGUGCGAGCGUUGUCCGGAAUUACUGGGCGUAAAGAGCUCGUAGGUGGGUUUGUCGCGUUGUCCGUGAAAACUCACAACUCAAUUGUGGGCGUGCGGGCGAUACGGGCAGACGUGGAGUACUGCAGGGGAGACUGGAAUUCCUGGUGUAGCGGUGGAAUGCGCAGAUAUCAGGAGGAACACCGGUGGCGAAGGCGGGUCUCUAGUACGGUACUGACGCUGAGACGCGAAGCGUGGGAGCGAACGGAUUAGAUAC
rnacentral:rRNA from 1 species